rnacentral:rRNA from 1 species
UACAGAGGGUGCAAGCGUUAAUCGGAUUUACUGGGCGUAAAGGGCGUGUAGGCGGGCAGGUAAGUCGGGCGUGAAAUCCCUGGGCUCAACCCAGGAACUGCACUCGAAACUACUUGUCUUGAGUGUCGGAGAGGAAAGCGGAAUUCCUGGUGUAGAGGUGAAAUUCGUAGAUAUCAGGAGGAACACCAGUGGCGAAGGCGGCAUCCUGGACUGGUCCUGACACUCAGGAGCGAAAGCGUGGGGAGCGAGUCCGG